GGCCAGCCCUAUUCUCGGCUCUCUGAGUCGGUGUAGGGUUUGGUCAUCCGUAUGGGAAGCUAGCUCGGCCUUCACUGGUCGGCUAGUGGAUCAUACACUUUACUUUGAAAAAAUUAGAGUGUUUAAAGCAAGCAUUCGCUUGAAUACAUUAGCAUGGAAUAAUAGAAUAGGACUUUGGUUCUAUUUUGUUGGUUUAGGGCCGAAGUA
rnacentral:rRNA from 1 species